UCCCUUUUAGUUUUGCGAUUAGGCUGCCAGGCUUUGUAAAGGGCUUAAAAACAAAGUCUUGCUCAGUCUUUUGUAGGAGAGAUCCAGAUGUUAUGUAGAUUUCUGUUUGCGUGUUCGUUUUGAGCGGAUCCGGCGGUGAGCGCAGUAUUUACGUGUGUGUGUUGCUGGACUUUACCGUUUAUCGACGUUGCGCUUGUGGAAUGUAUGCUGGAGUAUUAGCUCGGUAAUGCCUUCUAAUGGUAGUGCUAAUUACAGUGGGGUUAUUUAGCAAAUUAAGUGAGAUGAUGCAUCCCCCCCCCCCCACCCUUGAGUACCGAAUGAACUUUUCCGAACGCACAGGCACACACACACACACACACACGCGCGUUAAUUUUGGUGCGUUUCUCUCGCCCAAUCACUUCGCUGAAGCUACACCAUGCCUUACCUCAGAGCAGUCAAUUACCAAAGCUACCCGGGAUCAUCAAUCAUGGGGGAUGCUUGAAGUUUAGGGGAGGAGCGAUGGUCAAACUAUCGAUUGCUGCAGUUUUGUCCUCCCCAACCCCCCACCCUCGUUCACGGUCCCCUGCACAUAAAAUCUAAAACAGACUAUCCCGUUAAUAGUGGAAUUUAUCAAUGAUUAUGUACCCGUUUGUGAAUGUGGCCUCAUACAUAGAUGGCUUUUGAAAAUACACGGCAGAAAAUAUAUUAUUCCGUUAGAUUUUGGUUUGCUUUGCUUUUCGUGGUGAUGACGAUGCUUUUCAGAGGUUUUUUUUUUUAACUUUAAGAAAAUGACUCAAGGGGUAGUUAUAGAUAUUUGGCCUGAUUUUAAUAGGCGAAGGGAAUGAGCUUCAGAGGUCAAUAAACCCCUCCAAAAUGAUGAAUGAUUGAGUACCUGUGAUGAUGAUAGUGAUUACCGGAGCAAUUAAACAGUUUGAUUAAAUGAGCCAUCAUAACAAUGAUGUCUGCGGGAAAUCAGCCCUCACGUAUAAAGAAAGAUAGUGUGGAGAGCUGACAAACGCCAGUGGGCAUUCCUGCAUGUUCCGCUAGCGCCGAGCCCUGCAGAGCAGGGCUGUAUUUACAAAUAUGAGGGGAAUACGGAGAAAAGUCCCUCUCCUACUUAGAGCCAGAGUUGCACCCUGCUUAAAACCCGCCAGAAGCCGGAGAGCAGACACGGGGUUUUCUUUUUCCUAGAGGAUCUCCUCCAAGAUUAAAGCUAGUCCUAAGAGCAACCGAAUUGCUGUGACUGACUUUCACGGGACUGUAAAGAGAGAUCGGCUCAAAAGUCCAAAGAGAAAUGAGGUGUCCGGUAUGGAAGUGCAUCUCAGUCAACCGCCAGCUCCUUUUGCCGAGGCUGGAAAUGGUUUUAACAGGCGGUAAAAUUUCAUCUUGUGGUGUCAAAUUGGGGUCAGUUUGGGGUUAGCGCUCUCAGUGUCCGAGCAGGAGCUGUCCAGCUGUGUGGGGAUUCAUUAAGGGCAAAAGAUCCGUUUCAAGAAAAACAAUACAAAGACAAUCAGAGGGCUAAAGAUCCUCUUCAAAUCGCAUUUUACAAGUGCACCAGAACAAAUAUGGAUGCUGAAACCUAUUCCCUUCAAACUCCCAAAUCGGCUUCUUAGCCCUCGGAGGGAGCGAGAGAGAAAAUCCUCUAAAAGUUAAGAAGAGUCUGUUUUCAAUCAGCCUUUCCGAAGUGUGGCAUCUUAGUCCUUUGCUGGCUUUGAGACAUGCCUCUCUUGCUUGCUCGUUACAUCUCUCCCUCCCUCCUUCUCUCUCUCUCUUUUUCCACAGCCUUGCAAAAGCGGAUGGCACAACAGCUGCCUGUAAAACUCCAGAAGAGGAGCGCUCUCAUUUUUACACUGGAGUUCUCGGUCCGGAGAGAACAAUAUACUCCUAACUCUUUUGAAAUGAUCCGGAGACUCUUACAACACACAGGCAAUCACUCGAAGCACGAAUUUCCUUUUUUUUUUUUUUUUUUUUUUUUCCCAAGAACUGCUCGGCCCAUUGUUUGAAGUGGGAUUCUGUGCAGAGCCCAAAGAGAAAAGGAAAAAAAAAAAAAAUCCUGAGAGCCCGGUUUGGUAUUGCACAGAGAGAGAGCUGACAAAAUAUUAUAGCGUGUUUCCUAGAAGUACAUGGUGAGAGCCGGCGGUGUGUUCCCGAAAAGAGGUUGCUUUUUAUUCCCACCACCACCCCCCUCAAGAUUGUGAUCGUCUUUGUAUGUCUUUCUUUUGAUCCCACAAAGAGAAUGCAAUACACAUAUAUGUGUUUGCUCUCCAUACAAGAAAUGCCAUACAAUGGAAUAUGUGGCCGGUUAGUCCUCAUAAUGCUUAGUUUUGCUGUAAUUAAUUGAAAACAGUUAUUAGGUCGUCAUUGGCAAUAGCGUAAAUAAUUGCAGCAGAUUUUUACUUAAAAUUGACCGGUCAUAGAGUGAUAGAUCGAUUCGAGGUAUAAAAAUGAUGUAUCAAAACAUCAAUGUCGAUUAUUUGAAAUAUUGUAGUCGAAUCUUUUUAUUGCUUCAUCGGUUAAGUGUCUGAAAGUGCUGUGUUCCAACAUAUAUUUAUGUUGUCAAUACUGUCAAAACUGUCAGUUUUAUUACAGUGGAUUUGUAAUACAUUUCGGAUUUGCUCAUUUACAUAAAAUGUCCACCUCAGAUACCCCUCCUUUUCUCCAUCUCUGGAAAUCUGUGUCAGUUUAAUGAAAGGAUUCAAGACUCAUACCUGAAGAGGGAAAAAAAAGAAAAAGGAAAGGAGAAAAAAAAAAAAAAAAAGGAGGUGUUGCUCCAUUAUGUCCAAUUUUAACAUCCAUUUGGAAAGCUUGGGCUAUUUCUGACUCGCCAAAAGAGGGAAUUCCUCCCCCCUUCCCCCUCCCUCCCCCGGCCCCGCUUAUUUCCCUAGUAGAAUUUAAACACUUUCCUACUCUCACACCUAGAUUAAACCCUCCAGGAGAAUUGGGAAAUUGUACAGGGUUACAGCGAGGAGCCGAAGCACACCUGUGAAUGCCACAGCCUUCCCAAAGAGAGCAACAACCCCUCGAACCACGCACACCCGCACAGGGGUUUGAAUCCUGCUAGAAAGAAGGAGACAAAAGGAGCAAUAAAUGCGUGUGUGAUCCUUUCCUAAUGGUUUGGAGCCCAAAGGAAAAAAGCAAACUGUAAGCAGUGUUGGACAUUUGAUGCCCCCCGCCCCUAUUUUAUCAGGGUCUGAUCGAUGUGAUUAUUCCCUUUAACUGCAAGCAGUUAUUUUUUAUUAGCAUAAUCUCAGGCAACUCUCUAAUUUUCUCCAAGAGCCCAGCUGAGGGAUAGAGAAACUCAGGAAUAAAUAAAUAAGUCCGUUUGCACAAUAAACUCUCUUCGAUAGAACAGUGAAAUUAGGCAAGUAACUUUAUUUCCCACCCCUUUCCGAGGACAAGGGUGCUUAAAGGUGUUGGUGAGAUGGACCUGAGGGCUAUGUGGGUUGGUUUCUUUCCCCUUCCCCCUUCCUGCAAACCAUCCCCCCCCUUCCCCCCGGGAUAUCUGUGUUUAAAUAGAUGCUGAAGAGAUUUCUGAGUUCACGGGAAAGAAGGAAGGUUAGUUAAGGGAAUGGCAGCGCGCCUGGCAGGUAUUUUAAUGACUGUCCCUUCCUUUGAACACUUUCAAUAUCUCUGCUUCUAGUACAGAAUAUGUUUCCCAAACCAAGUAUGAUUUCUGUUGUAACUCUCUUGUGUGAUUGUGAUCCCUUCUGAGGUAAAUUGAGAAGUACGCUGCGCAAAAAGAGGAAAUCGCCCCUGGGGUGCUUUGUUUACUUUGGUUUGUAAAAUCCUGCUAGGAGAUGGUUUCCUCAGUGUGUGGCAAGUGUUUCUUCAAGAAAUUCAUCAGCCCUUCUACAAUUACUUCGAGCUCCGAGGGAAGAAAGCUGCCAUCACUUUCUCACAUCUCAAGGUGUUGCAUGGGGGAGAGAAGAAAAGGCUGGAGCAUUUAAUUAUAAUGGGGAGGGGGGUGGGGAGAGCGGAGGCUGCAGAAAGCCGUCCCAAGCCUGUACCUGGAAAAGAAAAACCUGCAAGGGUGUACUUGGGAAGCGUGUGCCAUUUAGACAUGGGGAAAAGUACCCCGUCUUGUGCAGUAAUUAGUCUGAACAAUA